UUGGAGGGCAAGUCUGGUGCCAGCAGCCGCGGUAAUUCCAGCUCCAAUAGCGUAUAUUAAAGUUGUUGCAGUUAAAAAGCUCGUAGUUGAAUUUCGGGGUCAGUAGAUUGGUCGUGCCACUGGUAUGCACUGGUCUCACUGAUUCCUCCUUCCUGAUGAACCGUAAUGCCAUUAAUUUGGUGUUGCGGGGAAUCUGGACUGUUACUUUGAAAAAAUUAGAGUGUUUAAAGCAGGCUAACGCUUGAAUACAUUAGCAUGGAAUAAUAAAAUAGGACGUUCGAUCCUAUUUUGUUGGUUUCUAGGAUUGACGUAAUGAUUAAUAGGGAUAGUUGGGGGCAUUAGUAUUCAAUUGUCAGAGGUGAAAUUCUUGGAUUUAUUGAAGACUAACUACUGCGAAAGCACUUGCCAAGGAUGUUUUCAUUAAUCAAGAACGAAAGUUAGGGGAUCGAAGACGAUCAGAUACCGUCGUAGUCUUAACCAUAAACUAUGCCGACUAGGGAUCGGAUGAUGUUAAUUUUUUAAUGACUCAUUCGGCGCCUUACGGGAAA
rnacentral:rRNA from 1 species